rnacentral:lncRNA from 1 species
AUGCUUUCGCCCGGGCAGCGUGAGGAAGCGGCGACCCGCGGUCCCCGGUGUGGGCGCCCGCGUGUGUGCGCACGUGUGCGCGCCCUGCCCGGGGCCCCGGCGACCACCUGUCACUCACCGCGGCGGCCGGGCGGCGGCCCGCGGAGGCACCCCCCGGGGGGCACCCGAGCCGCCGCCGCCGAGACGCGGCAAUGCCCCCUUCCGCCCCCGCCGGGCCCCCGCAGCCGCCGCCGAUUGGUCGCCCUUUGCUCCCUGACCCCCCGGCCGCCUCCGCGGCUGCCGCUUCCUGCUCCGGCGCCGCGCGGCGCUCCCGGCCGGGGCGGAGCUCGGGCGCCGGGCGCGCGCCGCCCUCGCCGCCAGCCGCGCCGGGGGAGGAGCCGCCGCGCCCUUCCCCUUCCUGCGCUCCGCCCCGGCCCGCGCCCGCCGCGGCCCCAGGCAGACUCGCGAGCAGCGGCCGCGGCCGGCGGCCGAGUCGGGAGGAUGCGGCGGCGCUCGCGGAUGCUGCUCUGCUUCGCCUUCCUGUGGGUGCUGGGCAUCGCCUACUACAUGUACUCGGGGGGCGGCUCCGCACUGGCCGCGGGCGCGGGCGGCGGCGCCGGCAGGAAGGAGGACUGGAAUGACAUUGACCCAGUUAAAAAGAAAGACCUGCAUCACAGCAACGGGGAUGAGAAAGCACACAGCAUGGAGACCCUCCCUCCAGGGAAAGUGCGAUGGCGGGACUUUAACCAGGAGGCUUACGUUGGCGGGACAAUGGUCCGCUCCGGGCAGGACCCCUAUGCACGCAACAAGUUCAACCAAGUCGAGAGCGAUAAGCUGCGGAUGGACAGAGCAGUUCCCGACACUAGGCAUGACCAGUGUCAGCGGAAGCAGUGGCGGGUAGAUCUGCCAGCCACCAGCGUGGUCAUCACGUUUCACAAUGAAGCCAGGUCAGCUUUGCUGAGGACAGUGGUCAGUGUCCUUAAGAAAAGCCCGCCCCACCUGAUAAAAGAAAUCAUCUUGGUGGAUGACUACAGCAAUGACCCUGAAGACGGGGCUCUCUUGGGGAAAAUUGAGAAAGUACGUGUACUCCGAAACGAUCGGCGAGAAGGCCUGAUGAGGUCGCGGGUGCGGGGGGCCGACGCGGCGCAGGCCAAGGUCCUGACCUUCCUGGACAGCCACUGCGAGUGCAACGAGCGCUGGCUGGAGCCCCUCCUGGAGAGGGUGGCUGAGGACAGGACCCGUGUCGUGUCCCCCAUCAUUGAUGUCAUCAACAUGGACAACUUUCAGUACGUGGGCGCGUCUGCGGACUUAAAAGGCGGUUUUGACUGGAACUUGGUGUUCAAAUGGGAUUACAUGACCCCUGAGCAGAGACGGUCCCGGCAGGGGAACCCCGUCGCUCCCAUAAAUAACACCCGCCGGGCAGCAGAGGUCUGGAUGGACGAAUACAAGAACUUCUACUACGCAGCAGUGCCUUCUGCCAGAAACGUCCCUUACGGAAAUAUUCAGAGCCGACUGGAGCUCAGGAAGAAACUUAACUGCAAGCCUUUCAAAUGGUACCUGGAAAAUGUCUACCCAGAGCUAAGGGUUCCUGACCAUCAGGAUAUAGCUUUUGGGGCCUUGCAGCAGGGAACCAACUGCCUGGACACUUUGGGCCACUUCGCUGAUGGUGUUGUUGGAGUUUACGAGUGUCACAAUGCUGGGGGCAACCAGGUACGUGCAUGGGGUGCCGGGGAAGGUGAGGGGCCUGAGGCCACACUUCCUUUCACCACCCUCCUCCUGAGAUGGCCACCCGCUCACAGCUGGCCUCGGGGUCAGAGGGGAUGUCCUCCAGGAGCUGUGGUCAGCCUUGGGCGGGCUCUGGUGCGCAGGGCGGGCGACCUGGGUCUCCUCUCCCCCCAUCCUCCUCUCUGCACUGACACCCUGGGCCGUGUGCUCAUCCCAGGGCAGCUGUCUGCAUCUGUGCCUGCCCAGGUCUGUGUGUGCAGGUGCUUACCCACAGCUGCUAGGGCUGCCCAUUAG